UCCAAAAAUUGAAUCAUAACUCAUAUCCAGCCCAUCUUUCAAAACCUUCUCUCCUAAUAAUCCGUCAAUCAGACUUUUAUUCGUCUUCACCGUCUCAGUUUUCCAGUCCUGCACUCACCGUUACUGCAAAUCCUCUCCUCAUCAAUCAAUGUUGCCUUUAAUCCUGGUUUUGUUCAUCUCCCAUUAAUCCUCCUCCUAUAUAAGUAACUUCAUCUAAACAUUAAAAUCAAGCCAAAAUCGAAAACCUCCACUAACACAGCUACAGUUACGACUAUGAAAUUCACCAGAAAGAAUCCCUCUCCACCGGAAAUUCUCCUCUUGCCGACGGUCGCUUCAGAGGGUACUAAUCUCAAGAAGAAGGUCUUCCAUCCUAAUGAGCAUGUAGCACCUUCCUUAGGAGAUCGAUGUUGAGAUGGAGGCCAAAUAAAAGAGUCAUUGAAAGAUGAAACUAAAGACUCAGCUUGCUUCGCGCGAGAAUUUAUAUGGCAAAUCUCCAAAAGCUCUUGCUGAAAUCGAAAGGGGUGAACUCCUGAGACUUCAUCUAUAAAUAGCGGUCCUUGCUGUGAUGAUGAGUACGACUCAAACGAUUUCCGGAAGCUUUCUUUUUCUAAGCGUUUUCUUUCAUAGCUACCGAUUUAAAUGGCGUCUUCUUACAUUCUCCUUGCGGAUCUGAGAGCCGGCACCAGUUUGAGUCAAUCUAUCAAAACUUCACACUGUUGGAGGCACCAGUUUGUAUUAGGUUCACCGAUCAAACAAGUUUACUUUAGAUAGCCAUAUUCCAACGCGGAUGCUCCGUUUCCGUAAUUAUGACAGCUGAUGCCACUGGCUAACACCAAUACAUAAUUACCAGGGAAACAACUGUACGUCUGAAUCUUUUUUGACGUCCUGGCCAACCUCAUCAAUAACAAAGUAGCUGCUGCUGGUGCCAAAGGUCAUUCUCGCCACAAAUAUCAAUCCCAAAUAGGUUGGAAGUUGCCUUUUCCUCAAUGGUACCUUUGGGACACACUUUUACUUCUACAACGACUGUGUCGCUAGCCACGUCUAUCUAUUCUAGGGUGUCUGUUUGUUAACCACGGCAUGUGCUCCAGUUUUUGUUCUACCCCGCUAAUCAAUUUUUUUUGUGCAGAAAAUGUGACAGUUAUGUGACAUCUUCUACAACUCCCACAAAAUAUGGAGGCAUUCAGAAGCUACAGUCUGGCACCGCCUAAGCUUUAAUGCAUAUGUCUUGCAUUCUGAGCCACAUGUGCAGAUACUAGACUCACUCAACUUUUAUGCAGUUUACGUUCUGUGAUUUUAGACCCCCACAGUCAGUCGAGUUAUUUUACACCAAUAUCUGAUACUCUUAUCACUGCACAUCACAGGUCGAGCUACUCCAUUACUGGAAACAAAACACAAGUUUGGAGAUGAAACUCUGGAAUGUGUUUACGCAGAUGAAACCGGCGCAAAGAUUCAUGCUUCCUCCAAAGUAAUAUCUCCGUUAUAGAAUGGAGAUUCGUCAAAAAAAUUUAAGGUUACUGGAAAUUCUGGCAAAUAUCGCCCAAUUGACCUCAAAUACAAGGUCGUUUUGACAGCUGACACAGUGAUAACUCCAUCUAGGUUAUCGGACGUCAAUCUCUCGAAGCUAUUUGAAAAUUGAAUUCCCAUGUCUCUAAACGGAGAAAUACAAACAGCCCAAGUUCAGCAAAAGGACAGAGAAUUCAUUUCGGUUCACAUGAUACAGCGGGUCAAGUUGUUUCAUGUUGCUUGUGGGGAAAGUAAGCAGCACAAGUUUCAUCUCAAUUUGAAGAUACAAAUGAUGAAACGAUAAUCUCUGAUAUUUUUUGCAAAAAUCAGCUUCUACGGAGGUAUAAAAACAUGUAAAUAAAAAUUCAUAUUGAAAAAAUCUUAUGUUGAGAAAACAGUACAUUAAAUUUACAAAGGAUGUGAACA